rnacentral:rRNA from 1 species
AGUCUGGUGCCAGCAGCCGCGGUAAUUCCAGCUCCAAUAGCGUAUAUUAAAGUUGUUGCAGUUAAAAAGCUCGUAGUUGGAUUUCGGAGUACUUGAGUGAUAUGGUCCGGCGAAAUGCUGUGUUUACCGUUCCUCAGUCUCCUCUUUUCAUAAGAACGCCCCCAUAAUACAUCCUUAACUGGACUCUUGGGGUGUCGGUCUAUGGAUCGUUUACUUUGAGAAAAUUAGAGUGUUUAAAGCAGGCAUAACAACUAGCCUUUGAAUACUACAGCAUGGGAUAAUGAAAUAGGAAUGCGGUCCUAUUUUGUUGGUUUCUAGCGUCCGCAUUAAUGAUUAAAAGGGAUAGUUGGGGGUAUUAGUAUUUAGUUGUCAGAGGUGAAAUUCUAAGAUUUACUAAAGACUGACUACUGCGAAAGCAUUUACCAAGGAUGUUUUCAUUAAUCAAGAACGAAAGUUGGGGGAUCGAAGACGAUCAGAUACCGUCGUAGUCCUAACCUUAAACUAUGCCGACCAGGGAUUCGGAGACGUUGGAUGAAUGACUCUCCGGGCACCUUGUGAGAAAUCACAAGUAUUUGGGUUCCGGGGGGAGUAUGGUCGCAAGGCUGAAACUUAAAGGAAUUGACGGAAGGGCACCACCAGGCGUGGAACCUGCGGCUUAAUUUGACCCAACACGGGAAAACUCACCAGGUCCAGACACAGGAAGGAUUGACAGAUUGAUAGCUCUUUCAUGAUUCUGUGGGUGGUGGUGCAUGGCCGUUUCCAGUUGGUGGAGUGAUUUGUCAGGUUAAUUCCGAUAACGAACGAGACCUUAACCUAUUAAAUGGUCAUGCCAAUGCUUGGCCAGCUCCGGCUGGUUCUUUUUGCUUGGCAGCGACUUCUUAGAGGGACUAUUCGAAUAUAGCGAAUGGAAGUUUGAGGCCAAAACAGGUCUGUGAUGCCCUUAGAUGUCCUGGGCUGCACGCGCGUUACACUGAUGCAUUCAACGAGUUUUCGCCCUUACCUGAAAAGGUUGGGUAACCUUCUGAAAGUGCAUCGUGCUGGGGAUAGACGAUUGGAAUUAUUCGUCUUGAACGAGGAAUGCCUAGUAAUCGCACGUCAUCAACGUGCGCUGAUUACGUCCCUGCCCUUUGUACACACCGCCCGUCGCUCCUACCGAUUGAAUGGUCCGGCAAGAACUCCGGAUGAUCGGGACCAGGCGGACCGUAAGGUUUGCUAAUCCUGUGUCAAAAGUU